AAUCACUGGGCGUAAAGGGUGCGUAGGUGGCGUGGAAAGUCAGAUGUGAAAUCCGGGGGCUCAACCUCCGAAUAGCAUCCGAUACUCCCAUGCUAGAGAACUGGAGGGGGAUCUGGAAUUCUCGGUGUAGCAGUGAAAUGCGUAGAUAUCGAGAGGAACACUAGUGGCGAAGGCGAGAUCCUGGACAGUAUCUGACACUGAUGCACGAAGGUCAGGGGAGCAAACGGGAUUAGAUACCCCGGUAGUCCUGACAGUAAACGGUGCACGUUUGGUGUGGGAGGAUUCGACCCCUUCUGUGCCGGAGCUAACGCGUUAAACGUGCCGCCUGGGAAGUACGGUCGCAAGAUUAAAACUCAAAGAAGUUGACGGGGACCCGCACAAGCGGUGGAGUAUGUGGCUUAAUUCGAUGCAACACGAAGAACCUUACCUGGGCUUGACAUGCACUGUGUCGUCGGUGAAAGCCGGCUAGCGUAUCAAUACGCGCUUUGCACAGGUGCUGCAUGCCUGUCGUCAGCUCGUGUCGUGAGAUGUUGGGUUAAGUCCCGCAACGAGCGCAACCCCUGCGAUUUGUUGCCACCGGAGCAAUCCGAGCACUCGAAUCAGACUGCCCAGAUCAACUGGGAGGAAGGUGGGGAUGACGUCAAGUCAGUAUGGCCCUUGCGCCCAGGGCUGCACACGUAGUACAAUGCCCAGCACAAUGUGAACCGAAACCGCGAGGUGGAGGAAAUCCUCAAA
rnacentral:rRNA from 1 species